AUUGAAAAAGGUUUCAAGAGAGAUAGUGGGAGUUUAGGGACCAUGACUAAUGUAGUCAAAGGUGAAACUCAAAUAAAGAAGAUAAAUAACUCCAAGGGAACAAACUUUCUUUAUGAAAGGAUGGACAUUGGAAGGGGUAUUUGCAAGAAAUGUCUUGCAAGUGUCAAGAACACACCUUUCGAAGGUGUUGUAAAAUGUUCUUGAAAAGUUCAAAACAGUUGGUUCUUCUACUUGAAUGUAUGAUUCCGUAUUAGUAACUAUAUUUUACAAAUGGUUGUAAAAGUGUGACUAAUAAGAAGUAGAAGAUAUAUGAGAGAAGAAAAGGUGCUUCACAUACGGAACGUGAAUAAGAUAUAGAUCUCUGCGAAAGCAGAUAGUACUUACUUCCUCAUAUGAACUACCAAAGAAAUUGGAUUAUAGUAAUCUAAUUGAUUGUCUCUAUAGUAGAGAUGAUAUGGUAGUGUUAACUGUUUAGAAUAUAAUGAUGCUUAAAACCCAAAAGGUUGCAAGGUAGUGACUAAUCCCAGCUAAAUUGUGAUACCUCUAAAACAUAAGUUACGAGUUGGUGAAACAAGGAUGCUUUGGAUCGUUAGAUCCGGAUCCAAUACCUUCUUGUUAAAAUUGUAUAGAGGCGAAAUGUUCGAAUCUUUAUUCUUUUUGAAAGAAGAAAGAAUCACAAAGUUGUUGAGGUUAAUUCACUUAGAUGUUAGUGGCACUUGUCCACAACAUAAUACUACUCAUGUUAUAUGACAUUCACCGAAGAUCACUCUCGGUUGGACUAUAGUUUAUUUUGAAUAAACACAAGUCCGAAUACUUUGCAAAAGGUUUCAAAGAAUUCAAGUAAUGUUAGUUGAUGAGUAAGACGUCUAAAGUAUUUACCUCCUUAGAUUUGAUCCAAGGAAAAGUAACACUUUAGAUGAGUUUCCUUGAAAGAUAUCAAGGAAAGGAGCAUCAUGAGAUAAUGAAUUUCUCCAUUAGGAGAAAAACGAACUCGAAUAAGAUUUAGUUCGUUAGAUGUUAUCUAUUACCCAUAUAUAGGAUAUAUACUUCUAAAACAAUAUGAUUGUCAAUUAGAAGAUCUUCCAAAAUUUUCAUAACUCCAUAAGAUGUAGUUGGAAAGAAAGACAAAUCUUAAGCAUGUUAAGAUUUGAGGUUGUGUGCUAAUAAGCAAUAUUUGUUUGAUAACAAUCUUGUGGGAUAUCCUUAAAUUAACUUUUGGAUAUCGCUUCUAUAAUCCAACUAACAAAUGUUGUUUUGUUGGGAAGUUCAUUGUAAUCCUACAAUGUGAUUUGCCUAAGAGCAAAUGAACGAGAGAUAGAACUCAAAGAAUGGGUUCUUUGAGAGACAAGGAAGUAAUCAACAAAUAUAACAACCUAGUUCCUAUACCUCAAGCUCCAAGGUAGUCAAUAAGGAUUUAUAAACCGUCUCAGUUGAAUGGUUUUGAACUUUAUGACUAUGUCAUAGAGUUGCACCUCUUAAUUCGAAAGAAGUAAGAAUGAAAAUCCUUAUACACUGAGUGCAUAUACAAUAUAUACUCAAGGAAAUGGUAAAGUACCAUUUGACUCGAAAUAAUGAAACCUUCAUAGCUAAUUGGUAGCUUAAGGUGACUACAAUCAAAGAAAAUGGUUGACUUUGAAGAAACCAUCUUUGAGAUAGUCUUAGUUUCAAUUAAUUCGAAGAUUGCUAGCUACAACUAAAUGGUGAUUCAAUGUUUGGACAUUAUUAAGAUAGUCUUGAUAAUAUAUGUCUAAAACUAUGAAUCACAAGACAUGUAAGUUGUAGAGAUCCAUCCAUCAUGGAUCUUAGCAAGCUAGUGGGAGCUAUUUGCAUCUUAUGAGAAAAAGAUCAAAUCGUUUGAUUGCUUAUAAAGAUGUAAAUGAAUCUUUUGUUUACUAGGUUUACAAAAGAUUAGUGGGAGUUAAUCAUGUUCCUAAAAUUUAAAAUAUAUAUGAUAUAUUAAUUUUGGAAAUGAAAUGAAUUCUUCUUCGUUAAAGUUAUGACUUUAAGCAUUCUAUAAAAAGAUAGAAUGUAUAUGGGAGAUAUAGUCUAUAUACAUGGGAAUGAAAUCUAUAUUGAUAGAUUUUAGGAUAUAAUUGGAUUGUAUCAAUCCCUAAUAAUAGACAAGAGAUGCUGGGAAGUUUCUCAUAUGAUGAUAAACUUCAAUCAAAUGGACAAUUCUAGUAAGACUAAGAAGUUGUUGACUCCCAAAGAAAUAAUGCGUAAAUAGAAUCCUUUAUGCGUAAGCAGAAAGGUGAUUUAUGUAUUUCAUAUUGUAUGAAAAACAUUGAUAUGAGUUGUACCUAGAACGGUACAAGACGAUAUCAAUACAAGCCCAGGAUCAGAACCAUGGCAACUGUCAAGUGAGUCCUUAAGUAUUUAAGAAAUACUAAAGGAUAAAUUCCUCAAAGAUCGAGGAAGAAUUAGAGUAACGUAAUGGAAGCGUAAAUGUAUUAGAUUAUGAAUCUAAUCCAUCAUUGGAUGUUUCUUCAUUACGAAUGAAGAAAUAAAACAGAUAUCUCUUUAUUAUGACUAAAGAGAUAUUUGGAUGGAAACAUUAAAGUAAUGACUUUAGUGUGUUCCAUUAUGAAUGCAAGAUAUAUUGCCAUAUAGAAGUUUACAACAAUGUUGUUUGGAUGGGAAAGUUCAUUUAUGAACUCUCUAUACGGUUCCAACCAGAAAGUGUAUGACACUAAUGGGGCGAUAGCUCAAGCCUGGGAAUCAAGGUCUCAUCAAGAU
rnacentral:lncRNA from 1 species